rnacentral:lncRNA from 1 species
ACUCAGGGAAAUCUCGACCCACCCAGCAGAAAUGCUAAACCCACAUCCUCCUGCUUCGGUAAGCAAAGGUCCGAGCUAAUCAGGGUUUAGCAUCAUCUCCAGCGCAACUGUAGCUGGGGCUGGCUUCUGGCAAAUUGUUUCUUCAUGGAAACAUCAAAUGAGUGGAAAAACUCCAAGGAGCAGGACCAUCUGCUGCACUAUGACAGGCCCUGUGACAAAAGUAAUCCAUCAAAGCAAAAUGUCACGCACACGGAGUUGAUCUUGCAUUUUCUGCUCCGAUAAGAAAAAGGCCACUCAGGACUGACAAUGUGGAGGUUCUGAAUGUCUACCCUGAAGCCUCUAACUUCUCUUUCUUCUCAUUUCCCGCUUACAGGAGCAAAGUGGAAAUCCCUGACCAGCCUCUACCUUCCAUGGUAUCUAGGGCAGGGGCCCAAGAAACAAACACCACUGAUUGCCCGGGCUGCCAUUAUUUCACAAGCUUCAGCUGAACACAUUUCUAAGUCACAUUACUCUUCACCAAGGUUUGGUUUUCCUUUAGACCAGCAACUCCUAUAACAUCAGACAGAAUCUCAUUUCUUACCCUAAUGUUCAUGUUUUAAAGCUUUACAAGUGUUACAUUUCAACAGCAGGAAAAAUCCUAUUUCCCAUAAAAGCACAGAAAUCUCUACCCAAGGAAACCGUUUGCCAAUGAAAUGAAAUGUAAAGCUGAUGAUAUGGGUAAUGGUACUCUGAGUUUCCCAGCUUUUUUCAGUCUUCCUGCAUCCAAAGCCCAUUUCUAAAAUAAACUACAUAAACUCUCCAACAAAAGAAUGAAUUUGUGCGAUGCAUAAACAUCUAGACCCCGAGUCUUCAU